GACGAACGCUGGCGGCGUGCUUAACACAUGCAAGUCGAACGGAAAGGCCCUGCUUUUGUGGGGUGCUCGAGUGGCGAACGGGUGAGUAACACGUGAGAAACCUGCCCUUGACUUUGGGAUAACUUCAGGAAACUGGGGCUAAUACCGGAUAGGAGCUCCUGCUGCAUGGUGGGGGUUGGAAAGUUUCGGCGGUUGGGGAUGGACUCGCGGCUUAUCAGCUUGUUGGUGGGGUAGUGGCUUACCAAGGCUUUGACGGGUAGCCGGCCUGAGAGGGUGACCGGCCACAUUGGGACUGAGAUACGGCCCAGACUCCUACGGGAGGCAGCAGUGGGGAAUAUUGCACAAUGGGCGGAAGCCUGAUGCAGCAACGCCGCGUGCGGGAUGACGGCCUACGGGUUGUAAACCGCUUUCGCCUGUGACGAAGCGUGAGUGACGGUAAUGGGUAAAGAAGCACCGGCUAACUACGUG
rnacentral:rRNA from 1 species